UACGAAGGGGGCUAGCGUUGCUCGGAAUUACUGGGCGUAAAGCGCACGUAGGCGGCUUCUUAAGUCGGUGGUGAAAUCCUGGAGCUCAACUCCAGAACUGCCUUCGAUACUGGGAAGCUCGAGUCCGGGAGAGGUGAGUGGAACUGCGAGUGUAGAGGUGAAAUUCGUAGAUAUUCGCAAGAACACCAGUGGCGAAGGCGGCUCACUGGCCCGGUACUGACGCUGAGGCGCGAAAGCGUGGGGAGCGAACAGG
rnacentral:rRNA from 1 species